AGUCGCGAACGGGUGAGUAACGCGUAGGUAACCUACCUUAUAGCGGGGGAUAACUAUUGGAAACGAUAGCUAAUACCGCAUAAGAGUUGACAACACAUGUUGUUAAUUUAAAAGGAGCAAUUGCUUCACUAUGAGAUGGACCUGCGUUGUAUUAGCUAGUUGGUAAGGUAACGGCUUACCAAGGCUUCGAUACAUAGCCGACCUGAGAGGGUGAUCGGCCACACUGGGACUGAGACACGGCCCAGACUCCUACGGGAGGCAGCAGUAGGGAAUCUUCGGCAAUGGGGGGAACCCUGACCGAGCAACGCCGCGUGAGUGAAGAAGGUUUUCGGAUCGUAAAGCUCUGUUAUAAGCGAAGAACGGGAGUAAGAGUGGAAAGUUUACUCUGUGACGGUAGCUUAUCAGAAAGGGACGGCUAACUACGUGCCAGCAGCCGCGGUAAUACGUAGGUCCCGAGCGUUGUCCGGAUUUAUUGGGCGUAAAGCGAGCGCAGGUGGUUUAAUAAGUCUGAAGUUAAAGGCAUUGGCUCAACCAAUGUAC
rnacentral:rRNA from 1 species